ensembl:snRNA U6 U6 spliceosomal RNA
UCUUGCUUCGACAACAUACUGACUAAAAUUGGAACAAUAUAGAGAAGAUUUGCAUGGCCCCUGAGCGAGGAUGACGGGCGAAAUUAUUAAACAAAACAAGAUACG